GACGAACCGUGCGAACGUUGUUCGGAAUCACUGGGCUUAAAGGGCGCGUAGGCGGGCUGCCGCGUCUGGGGUGAAAUCCUCCGGCUCAACCGGGGAAGGGCCUCGGGUACGGGCGGCCUCGAGGGGGGUAGGGGCGUGCGGAACUGUGGGUGGAGCGGUGAAAUGCGUAGAGAUCCGGAGGAACACCGACGGCGCAGGCAGCGUCCUGGCCGCUUGCUGACACUGAGGCACGAAGGCCAGGGGAGCAAACGGG
rnacentral:rRNA from 1 species